GAAAGCCUACGGGGGGCAGCAGUGAGGAAUAUUAGUCAAUGGGCGAGAGCCUGAACCAGCCAAGUCGCGUGAAGGAUGACGGCCCUACGGGUUGUAAACUUCUUUUGUCAGGGAGCAAUUGGGUCCACGUGUGGGCUUAGCGAGAGUACCUGAAGAAAAAGCAUCGGCUAACUCCGUGCCAGCAGCCGCGGUAAUACGGAGGAUGCGAGCGUUAUCCGGAUUUAUUGGGUUUAGAGGGUGCGUAGGCGGAAUAUCAAGUCAGCGGUCAAAAUUCGGGGCUCAACCCCGUAGUGCCGUUGAAACUG
rnacentral:rRNA from 1 species